CACGUAGGCGGUCAGGCAAGUCGGGUGUGAAAGCCCUGGGCUCGACCUGGGAAUUGCAUUCGAAACUAUCUGACUCGAGUAUGGGAGAGGGAAGCGGAAUUCCGGUGUAGCGGUGAAAUGCGUAGAUAUCGGAAGGAACACCAGUGGCGAAGGCGGCUUCCUGGACUAAUACUGACGCUGAGGUGCGAAAGCGUGGGGAGCAAACA
rnacentral:rRNA from 1 species